rnacentral:rRNA from 1 species
CCUACGGGUGGCAGCAGUGGGGAAUAUUGGACAAUGGGGGCAACCCUGAUCCAGCCAUGCCGCGUGUGUGAAGAAGGCCCUCGGGUUGUAAAGCACUUUCAGUGAGGAAGAACGCCUGGUGGUUAAUACCCAUCAGGAAAGACAUCACUCACAGAAGAAGCACCGGCUAACUCCGUGCCAGCAGCCGCGGUAAUACGGAGGGUGCGAGCGUUAAUCGGAAUUACUGGGCGUAAAGCGCGCGUAGGUGGCUUGAUAAGCCGGUUGUGAAAGCCCCGGGCUCAACCUGGGAACGGCAUCCGGAACUGUCAAGCUAGAGUGCAGGAGAGGAAGGUAGAAUUCCCGGUGUAGCGGUGAAAUGCGUAGAGAUCGGGAGGAAUACCAGUGGCGAAGGCGGCCUUCUGGACUGACACUGACACUGAGGUGCAAAAGCGUGGGUAGCAAACAGGAUUAGAUACCCUUGUAGUC